GGGCAUUUGGUCUAGUUGUAUGAUUCUCGCUUAGGGUGCGAGAGGACCUGAGUUCAAUUCUCGGUAUGCCCC
rfam:Ipomoea nil DNA, scaffold: scaffold2647, cultivar: Tokyo-kokei standard.